rnacentral:rRNA from 1 species
AAUAGAUACCCGGGUAGUCCACGCCGUAAACGAUGAGUGCUAAGUGUUAGAGGGUUUCCGCCCUUUAGUGCUGAAGUUAACGCAUUAAGCACUCCGCCUGGGGAGUACGGCCGCAAGGCUGAAACUCAAAGGAAUUGACGGGGGCCCGCACAAGCGGUGGAGCAUGUGGUUUAAUUCGAAGCAACGCGAAGAACCUUACCAGGUCUUGACAUCCUCUGACAACCCUAGAGAUAGGGCUUCUCCUUCGGGAGCAGAGUGACAGGUGGUGCAUGGUUGUCGUCAGCUCGUGUCGUGAGAUGUUGGGUUAAGUCCCGCAACGAGCGCAACCCUUGAUCUUAGUUGCCAUCAUUAAGUUGGGCACUCUAAGGUGACUGCCGGUGACAAACCGGAGGAAGGUGGGGAUGACGUCAAAUCAUCAUGCCCCUUAUGACCUGGGCUACACACGUGCUACAAUGGACGGUACAAAGAGCUGCAAGACCGCGAGGUAGAGCUAAUCUCAUAAAACCGUUCUCAGUUCGGAUUGUAGG